CCUACGGGAGGCAGCAGUGGGGGAUAUUGCACAAUGGGGGAAACCCUGAUGCAGCGACGCCGCGUGUGGGAAGACGGUCCUCUGGAUUGUAAACCACUGUCCCAAGGGACGAAGAUGACGGUACCUGGGGAGGAAGCUCCGGCUAACUACGUGCCAGCAGCCGCGGUAAUACGUAGGGAGCGAGCGUUGUCCGGAAUUACUGGGUGUAAGGGGAGCUUAGGCGGGAUGCAAGUUUGGUGUAAAAACUACCGGCUCAACUGGUAGUCGGACUCAAAACUGCAGCUCUUGAGUGAAGUAGAGGCAGGCGGAAUUCCUAGUGUAGCGGUGAAAUGCGUAGAGAUUAGGAGGAACACCAGUGGCGAAGGCGGCCUGCUGGGCUUUUACUGACGCUGAGGCUCGAAAGUGUGGGGAGCAAACAGGAUUAGAUACCCCAGUAGUC
rnacentral:rRNA from 1 species